AGAGAAGAAGGAAAAGUUGAAGAAUCACAUCUUUUAAGAUCAUCAGCUGGUAGCUACCUGUUAGAGUCAAGCAGUGAAUGAACUGCAGACCCAGAGUUAACUUCACAUUUAAGAUGUUAGGUUAUGGUUCUUUUUUUAAUGAACAUUUAGUACUUUUUUUUCAAAUUACUUACCUUACUAAGCUGCAGUUACCUUACUCUUAAUCUUAGUAUACUAUUUUUAAUAACCGUAUAGGAUUUUUAAAAUUUUUCAGUAGUGCAUUUAAAUUUAAUAAAACACAUUGUGAAAAAUGUUAAAUAUGUUAAGAGCUCAAAAUUAGGAAAAAUAUUAUUAAAAUAAUUUGAAAAGCCAUGAGUUAAUCAGAAUAAACAGUAUUCCUAAAAUUUGAUUCUGUGCUGAAGAAAUAAACUAAAGACAGUUUUUGUUGGUUAAGUUUUAAUAAAAAUGUUGUUUAAAUUUUAUUUCUGUCUGGAUGUUUUCUCAUUAGAGGGUCAAAGGAUGUGGAGUGCAUUUAAUUUUUCUCUGUCAUGUUAGUAUUUAUUGUUACAGUCCCAGGCCUGUACUGCUUCCAUCUUCUUGUGGUUGUUUUUCUUUUCCUGUACUGCCUUUCCAUAUUGGAAGGUUCCUCCUGUUACCACAUCUCCAGUUGCUGAUUGGUUGCCUCCCUCUACUGGUGGACGCCCGGCCGGGCCUUAAAGGUCAACCUGUCCAAAAAUGAUUGGCUGGAGGAUACUUGGACAGCACCGCCCACCCAGUAGCUCCUGCCAAUGAGGAGGUCAGGUGGAUGAAAGGAAGAUUUAAAAGUGGCCCCUACCCUUCAGUCAGCGGUGCUGUUCUUCAUGUGCAUUAUGCCAUUAUUUGUUUGUCUGUUUGGUUUUGCUUCACUUCAGUGACUUUGACUUUUGUAGCCAGGAGACUUUAUUUGGAAAAAAAAAAAAGACUUCACUUUUAUGGUUUAAGCCACUGGUUUUCUUUUCUGCUCUUUUGAUUGUGUAUUUUGUUAACAUUUGGAUAUUUUACUAUUGCCUUCAAUUAGAAUAAUUUUGCUCUCAAGAAAGUACUUUGUUCUGUAAUUUAAUCAUUCUUAUGAGGAGAACUUUGAUCAUUGCUGUAAUUUUGUUUGUUUUGCUCCCAUACAUUGAUAAUCAAUCCUAUGGGUUUUAAAAUUAAUGAGCCAGGAUGUAACAUUUUUGGAAGUUACUAUUAAAUGUCAAAUGUUCAGUUUGCAUAACAAUCCCAUAGCAGUGCUGGGGGACAUUCAUGCAAUGGAACUUUUACAUUUAAAAUUUUUGGUGUCUGGGCGCUGUCGUUGAGCUCUAUAAUUAAAAAAAACUAUUGAUUCUGCCUUAUUUCUCUAACAUCCCGACUAUCAAGCUGCAGAAUUAAACUCAUAAAGAAUAGUUUUACUUAAAAUAACUCCCAAUGUGAGUAAACCUAAACCCAAUUAAGAUCUGAAUGAUAACGUUGCUCAAGCAACUGAAGGUAUUUGAAAUGUUACAGAAACAUCAGCAAAAAUGUCCUAAUUGUUGCUCAACUAACAGCUUUGAUCUGAUCUUUUGGUAUGCAUAUUUCUGUGCCCUCUUCCUCCUUUUCAGAAGCAGCCUCACCACCAGCUCUAUCAAAUCAAAUCUAUUUAUAUAGCACAUUUAAGAACAACUGCCGCUGGCCUAAAUGUUGCACACAAAAACAACAAAUUACAGUGAUUCCAACAUAAAAGAAAAUACAGACACAAUAUAAAACAGAAAUAGAAACAUAAAAAGCCCAACAAUUUCCACAUUAGGCCCAGUCACCUCUAUGAACCAACCUGGACCUUUUGACAAGGAGAAAUUAACAUUAGAUCGCAUGGAUAUAGAAGGCUGCAGGAGAUCAGACAAAUAAACAGGAGCCUUAAUUUAGGGCCUUAUAGGUGAGCAAUAAAACUUUAAAAUCGAUUCUAAAAUGAACAGGAAGCCAGUGAAGGGAAGCGAGCACUGGGGAGACAUGUUCACGCUUUUUCAACGGUUGCAAUAGACAGUUUUCUGACUAAGAGACAAUUUCACUAACAGGAUGUGCAGCACAGCUUUUUCUCUGGAUAAAACUAUAUGGAGCUCAGGUUCUGGGAGCCAAUUACUGCUCUUGUUUUUUUUUUUUUUUUUCAAUUGCAGGAUUGAAAUCAGGGCAUUUUGUUUCUACAGGGGACUCAGCAUCUGGGGCAGGCUCAUGACAUUAAUGGGACAGAGUUUAUUCUAAUUUUGUCCACACAUUUUUGUUAUAAGCGAGUUGCAGAUCUCGGGCUGUGUGGUGCAUUAUGGGUAAGGUCAUUUUUUUGGCUUCCAAAAAACAUUCAAAGAUGGUGGAAAGUAACAAAGACAACUAUGAUUUGGACCAUUUCAAUCACUGGAAAGUUGAUGAUUUAAAGGGUUUUUGUAGUUGCCGUGGAUUGCCUGUUACAUCCAAGACUGCAAUAACAAUAACAACUGAUAUUGCAGCAUAUUUGCUUAGCAGGGAUGAGAAGCUGCUACUUCACCGGCAUGCAAUGACUACAAGGAAGGUAGGUGUGGUGUUUGUUUUGAUAAGUUGACAUAUAUCAGCUUGAGGCCAUUAAGGGUGGGACGACGCACAAUAAUAAUGAAAAUUGCAUUGAAAAGAGGCACAAUUAAUUGAUUGGAGCAUUUUUUCAUAAUUGUGAUCAUAGGGUAUAAAGAUCCAAGAGCACAUGGUUAUGUAAAAAAAGUCGCACACACUGCACCAUCAGUGCAGUUGCAGCAACAUGAUUUUGUCAAAGUAAUUAAAUCAGAAAUUCCUUUGUGAUUUUCAAAAAUGUAUUUUCACUUUUUACAUUCUUUAUUUUAAAUUUUGCUUCUUAAUUUACACCUCGUUCAUCAUCAGGACAAUACCAUCCCUACAGUGAAGCAUGGUGGUGGCAGUAUCAUGCUACGGGGAUGUUUCUCAGCAGCAGGAACUAGAAGACUAGUCGAGAAGCAUGUGUCUGCAGCCCCACAGAUCGCAGUUUCAGACCUGCAGUUCUAGACCUCUUCUCUUUCGCUACAGUCAACAUGGAUGUCAAUUGGAAAGUUAGUAUUAAACUUGAAUAAAAUUGCUUAUUUAAUGCCGUCGAACUAUUGUUGUCUUUAAUUUGAGAAUUAAAAAGAGUUUUGCUGUGAAUUAAAUAAGGUUUUGCUCUGAUGAGUUAGUUGAAAAGGCACUUCGAUGUUGAAUUGAAGCUAAGAUAAGCUUGGCUUUGAAAAGCUAACGGUUUGACCCUUGCAUUUAGUUUAAUUCACCUAGGCACAAUGACGAAUUCAAGGGGUUUCUUUGCUUUCAUAACUAUUUACAUUGUCUAUUCCCACCAAAGGCAACAAAUAUUUCAUAGAUAACAUUUGGAAUUAUAUGGUAAACAAAAACUGUGAAAUCACUUUAUGAAAAAAGUUUUGUAUAUUAGAUUCUUCAAAAUAGCCCUUUGCUCUGAUGACUGCUUUGCUCUCGUGGCAUUCUCUCCAAGAGCUUCAUGAGGUGGUCACCAGGAAUGGUUUUCCAAAGUGUCUUGAAAGAACUUCCCAAAGGUUCAUUGAGAGCCGACUAAAGUUGCAUAUAACUGUCCAAAAAGGAAAAACCAUGCCCAUAUUGGACAGAUGCAGGACCUGCUGCGUAAACUUUCACUGUCCCUUUUGAAGCUCCACUGCAUUUAAACCCACACAGCUGUGUAUGUGCAGGAAACAUUUAAUCCUGCAUUUCAAUUGGGCUGUUUGUCACGGAGAUGUACCACAGUUGGGUCUUAACAGCUGGGCAUAAAUAAGUAAGCAUAGCAGAAAUUGUUAAAGUUCAGGUCCCAGCUAGUGUAUUCCAUGUUUUCAUUUUAUAUUUUGCUUUUAAAAAGGAAAAAGAGUGAACAGAGAGGAUCUAUGCGAUGUACUAAAAAGAAGAAUAGGCGAAACUGCCUAAAGAUAAGUGAGCUAAGCUUGUGGCAUCAUAUUCAUAAGACUUAAAGGGGACAUGUUAUACAAAAUCUACAUUUUUAGCCCUUAAAUACAUUUAUUGUGUUCUUGGAGUCUGUAGGAAUGCAGAAAAAAUGAAUUUAGUCUCUCCAGGUGCUGUAUAGAUAUUUUUCCAUUCUAUCUGGGUCAUAUUUUUCAAUCCGUUCAGUUUUCUCCAUUCUCUGUUACGUUUUUGAACUAUUACCUCACAGUAUGUGCUAUAGAACAGCUAAACAAGGUCAUGGACUUCUGGCUAACCAAUUUUGCAAAUCCGCUAUUUUUAAUUCUCACUGACAUUUUGUAGUCCAAGCUCAAGUAUGCUGCAGCUGUGAGUGGAUAAAUCUAAACGUUGUUGGGUGUAUUAACCCACACAAUUAAUUAUGCCAAAUAUUCCCACAUCAGUGGGGAAAUUCCUCUUUUUUUGUGCAAAACACUUCAAGAACGAGUUCUUCAGCAACUUCCACCAGUAUCAAGAAGGAUUUGCUGAAAGACUGCAUCUGAUUAAGGGAUCAGCUCCUUCUGUCCAUGGAAACAGCUAAGUGUUAAGCUGCAAAUGACACUUAAAUGACAACAAACUUUAUUUUAGACAUUAAUGUAAUGCGUAUUCAUGUGAUAUCCUGACCUUUUUUUUGAUAGCAGUGGCAUCAUGCCUUCUGCUAAUGUUGGUGCUGUGUGCUGCUUUUAGCUCCCUGGGGACAGAACUUGACUGCAUGUUUUGAAUAGUUAUAUCACAUAAAUGGUUUGGGAUUGUUUUUGCCAUUUUGCCUUGCUUCUGUGCCGCAAGAUAAUUGUGUUUCUAUCUAUCAAACUACAAAAAUGGCCAAACGGAGUUAAGUGGAAUGCUCUUCGACCUGGAGAAGGGCGGGAUAUGAAGUGCCUCAGUAGCAUUUAAAGAGACAGCACCAAAAUGAGUAUUUCUAUGAGGCGCACAUCAUAGAAGGGGUAAAAGAGGAGCCUGUGGAGCUACGAUAACAAGGAGUUCAGACCAUGAUAUUUCCCCUUUAAGGCUGUAAUCGCUGCCAAAGAUGGAUCAACUAAAUAUUAGGUAAAGGCUGUGAAUACUUAAGUACAUGUAAUUUCUAUGUUUUCUAUUUUUAAUACAUUUGCAGGAAUCUCAAAAAAACGUCUUUCAAAUUGUCAUAGUGGGGUAUUGUGUGUAGAAUUUUAAAUAUAGAUUAAUUUGAUACCAUUUGGAAUAAAGCUGUACCAUAACUAAAUGAAAAAAGUGAAGAGCUGUGAUUACUUUCUGGAUGCGCUGUAAGAAACUAUGCUUUUCUUCUUAUAGGGCAAAUAUGUGAGACACAUCUGUUUUGGAGCAACAAUUAUAUACAGAUCCCUACAACUGUGUUAGUUUCAUAAAAUUUUUAAUAUUUUUGAGAAGGUAAAAAAAAACAAAAUCAUAUGCUUAGCAAAACGUUUGGACAGCACCAAUAAUGUAAUGGCAAAGACUCAUUUUCAAAAUAGAAGACAUGGCAUUUUUUUUUAUG